UACGUAGGGAGCAAGCGUUGUUCGGAUUUACUGGGCGUAAAGGGCGCGUAGGCGGCCUGGUCAGUCGGAUGUGAAAGCCCGGGGCUCAACCCCGGAACGGCAUCCGAGACGGCCAGGCUGGAGACCGGGAGAGGAGAGUGGAAUUCCCGGUGUAGUGGUGAAAUGCGUAGAUAUCGGGAGGAACACCAGUGGCGAAGGCGACUACCUGGCCUGUUCUUGACGCUGAGGCGCGAAAGCUAGGGGAGCAAACGGG
rnacentral:rRNA from 1 species